UACGUAGGGGGCAAGCGUUGUCCGGAUUUAUUGGGCGUAAAGAGCGUGUAGGCGGCCUGGUAGGUCAGCUGUGAAAACUCGAGGCUCAACCUCGAGACGCCGGUUGAAACCAUCAGGCUAGAGUCCGGAAGAGGAGAGUGGAAUUCCAGGUGUAGCGGUGAAAUGCGCAGAUAUCUGGAAGAACACCCGUGGCUAAGGCGGCUCUCUAGUACGGUACUGACGCUGAGACGCGAAAGCGUGGGGAGCGAACAGG
rnacentral:rRNA from 1 species